UGGGGAAUCUUAGACAAUGGGGGCAACCCUGAUCUAGCCAUGCCGCGUGAGUGAUGAAGGCCUUAGGGUUGUAAAGCUCUUUCAGCUGGGAAGAUAAUGACGGUACCAGCAGAAGAAGCCCCGGCUAACUCCGUGCCAGCAGCCGCGGUAAUACGGAGGGGGCUAGCGUUGUUCGGAAUUACUGGGCGUAAAGCGCACGUAGGCGGACUGGAAAGUCAGAGGUGAAAUCCCAGGGCUCAACCUUGGAACUGCCUUUGAAACUAUCAGUCUGGAGUUCGAGAGAGGUGAGUGGAAUUCCGAGUGUAGAGGUGAAAUUCGUAGAUAUUCGGAGGAACACCAGUGGCGAAGGCGGCUCACUGGCUCGAUACUGACGCUGAGGUGCGAAAGCGUGGGGAGCAAACA
rnacentral:rRNA from 3 species